GUGCCUCGCACUACCGACCCUCCACGGACAUGCCUGGUCAUACUGACUUGGAGUUACCGAAAGCUUUUGAUUUUGGAUCCCCCUACGCUAUUAAAUCAAUUGCCGUCUUGCAAAAGACGUUGAAGACUUAUCAAAACCGGAAAAUUAUCAUCAUGAUCGAAUCCUCUAGGUCCUCUGAGUUAGUUUAUGUUCAUGUCAGGAAGCUUUUGCUAACUAGUCAUGGAGUUUACGACCUCAGAACGACCGAAAGGACUUGGUUUUGAUCAUACACACGUCAUUUUUGGCUAAGGCAAAAGCCUACACGCCACCUGCAAGCUUCAUAGAUUCGCACAUGCCAAUUCUGCGAAAAACAGCAAUCUGUCCCUUCUGGACAGUCAAUUUCGUUUGAGCUUUGUGAACAGCUCCGGACGAACCAGACAGUGAGCUUUAUAUCAUUGGAAAGCUCUACGAGUCUAGUUUUCAGAACAUUUUACGGUUUGUCCAUAUCUAUUUUAGUGAAGAAGUUAUGGCUGUUUUAGUGCGCAAAGGUCAUUCUGCGCGGAAAUUUUUAUGCACUCUCGGGAUUGCAGGUUUUUGUAGCUUCGUUCAAUCCUUCUAAAUGGUUCAAGUGGAACUAUUUACUCUCUUAUCUACUCUAUUUUGUAGAUCUGUCUCAUCGAUUGAGUGCUUCGCAGAUAGUGGAACUAUCCACAACAUUCUAAGGAACCGGCAACUGUAUUUGGAUUUUGUGCCUUUGUAAAUCUUCUGUGACUACAAUGAUUGAUGAUUGAAUCAUACCGGUCAUUCAAGGAGGCAGUUUAGCUUAAAUCUUGAUGCCUCAUGGCACCAUGAUCAAUGUCACAGAUACCCUCUAUGCAUUUGAUAAGUGCAUUUUUACGCCAUGAUCUUAAUGGAUUUUCACCCCCAUUUACACUUUGUUUGUGCCUUAGUAUGUUUGUUUUUACUUAUUUUAGAGUCAAGAGGGUUUUUCUGUAGAGUUGUGACUACUAGUCGUUUUUAUACAGAAAAU
rnacentral:lncRNA from 1 species